UACGGAGGGUGCAAGCGUUUAUCCGGAUUUACUGGGUUUAAAGGGUGCGUAGGUGGGUCUGUAAGUCAGUGGUGAAAUCUCCGGGCUUAACCCGGAAACUGCCAUUGAUACUAUAGGUCUUGAAUAUCCUGGAGGUGAGCGGAAUAUGUCAUGUAGCGGUGAAAUGCUUAGAUAUCUGGAGGAACACCGGUGGCGAAGGCGGCAUCCCUGGACCAACACGUGACACUGAGGAGCGAAAGCCAGGGGAGCAAACGGG
rnacentral:rRNA from 1 species